GACGAACGCUGGCGGCGUGCUUAACACAUGCAAGUCGAGCGGUAAGGCCCUUUCGGGGGUACACGAGCGGCGAACGGGUGAGUAACACGUGGGUGACCUGCCCUCAGCUCUGGGAUAAGCCUGGGAAACCGGGUCUAAUACUGGAUAUGACUCCAUGACGCAUGUUGUGGGGUGGAAAGCCUUGUGCGACUGAGGAUGGGCCCGCGGCCUAUCAGCUUGUUGGUGGGGUGANGGCCUACCAAGGCGACGACGGGUAGCCGGCCUGAGAGGGCGACCGGCCACACUGGGACUGAGACACGGCCCAGACUCCUACGGGAGGCAGCAGUGGGGAAUCUUGCGCAAUGGGCGAAAGCCUGACGCAGCGACGCCGCGUGAGGGAUGACGGCCU
rnacentral:rRNA from 1 species